rnacentral:rRNA from 1 species
GCCGCGUUAGUGUUAAGGUAGCAUAGUAAUUAGUUUCUUAAUUGGGAAAUGGAAUGAAUGGUUUCACUAAAAUAUGAUAUUUAUCCUAAUUUGCGAAAUUUUAAUCUGAGUGAAAAUACUCAGAAGAUAUAUUUAGACGAGAAGACCCUAUGAAGCUGGUAGACUUCCAAUGUAAUUAUACGAUAGUUCAUGAGUUUAUUUUUUGGGGUAAAAUUUAAUAAUAGUAUUAAUAUCGGCUUACUAAAUAAUAUCCUCUUGGAAUUAUGAAAAA